UAUGACUAAGAGUGUGCUAAAAUAAAAAUAGUAAAAUACUUUUAAAUUUGAGAUAUUUUAUAAUGGGGUAAAGACAGAACAUAAACUUUUAGAAUAGUAAUACAUGCUUUAAUUACUAUAUGUGUUAAACUCAUUAGAUAAUAACAAAUGACUUGGAUGAUAGUCCACGCAUUGAAGGCCCAAGAACAUUUUACAAAAUUUAAAGAACCAUUUAGAUAGCCAACUUUAAAGAAGAAGAUAAUAUAUAGUAAAAGGUAAGAAGAUGAAAAAGGGAGGAAAGAAAAAGGAAUAUGAGAUAGGAUAUUCCAAGUUAGUAUAGGUAAAGAAAAGCAUCUCUAUCUUGUUCUCCAUAACUUUCUUUUUGGUCAUUGACCAUUUUAGCACCUUCAUUCACGAGGCAGAGAAAUGAGAAUGAUGAUAGGUCAAAAUCAGUAUGAGUAGAAGAAUCUGUAAGAGAAAUUAGGGCUUUCUACAAGGUAAGGGAAUAAUAAUGUAAGUAAAGAAAAGGAUAUCCAAUGGUAUAUGCUUAGGAUCCCAUAUUCUUUUUUCGCAUGAAAUUUGAGUUCCCUAUAAAGGUCUCUUAAUCGUAGUGCUGUAUAAAAGUAUAAGCUCCAAUUCCCUCCAUUUUCAUAUAUAUAUAUAUACACACACACAGACAUACUCAAAGCGAUGCAAAUGUUACAUAUUAUAUAUUUUAUUAAGCCGACUAGUAGAAGGGCUUCUCUCCAUUGGCAGGCAUAAUGACUUAGACUUUCAUGUUCUGCCAAAGGAGAGUUGCCCUUCAUCUAGUUUUGCUUUACUGUUCAAAACAACGACUCUCAUAACUUAUUAGAAAGAAAAAAAAAGAAGGAAAAAGAAUUACAUCCUCCAAACGUAAAGAUGUAGGCUCAGGAUUCAAAUCAUGGGGAUGUUAAGACGGUGUGGUCUCUCUUGGACCUGAAACUUUAUGCUCUAGAGAAACCUAGUUGGCUUCCAAACCCAGACACAAUGAGGCUAGUUUUCCAUUUUAAUUUUUAAUUUUUUGUUUUUAUGUUUGGUUUCAAAAAUCAUUUUCCCCUUUUAUAUCUUUUCUUAAUUGAUCUAUUCUUUUUCUGAUUCAUGCAGAGAGUUUUGGCCGACGAUUGCCAAGGUUUCUUUGGACAAACCUUCUUGAUGGUGGAGAUCAAGAAAUCGAUCGACACAACUAACUGAGUGCGAUUUUUUGCGGUUGGUGUUUCUUUCAAUGAUUAAGGGUGAUGACAAAUAGUUAAUUUUUGCUUCAAAAUGUUGCCCUUUCUUCCGGAGAUGAACGGACAACAACAAACCCUCCACAUAAUUUUACAACGGCUGGUACUUUGGUAUUAAGAUCUCUCCUACUUCGGGCUUUAGUUGCACGCAGUUUUCCAGUGGCUGUCUAUUCUUCGAGUUUACGUACAUAAAAAAAUCCUUGUAUUAGUGUGGUGUCCAGCUUACAUACUCUACCACAAGCUUAAGUUAGUAUAAGAAGUGACCAAUUAACUUUUGUCUUAAAAUCUGAAAUUGGGUUUUAGAUUUUUGCAUUUCAGGUAGCAUUUGAUAUUUUUUGCAUUUUAGGUAGCAUUUGAUAUUUUAAAAUAUCAGUAAAAAGUAGAUGACAAGAUAAAAAUAAAACAAAAUUGUUGCCGUACACAGAACAAAAAUUAGUUUUUGAAAAUUGGUAUUUGUUUUUAGAUUAUUUUGAAUAAGAAUUGAAAAAUAUGCUUCUUAACAAAAAAAAAAAAAAAACUAUGGUAAGGAAAUUUGGAGAAAACGUCAAAUUUUAAAAUUAGAAAAUAAUAUAAUUGUAGUAGAUGAGAUUUGAACACAAGACCUUGAGGUUUUAGAAGAAAACAUAGUUACUAUACUAAAGGUAUAAUAUAGUAAAAAUAAACAUUAUUUAAAAUAUGUUGUAAUUUAACGCUUCAAAAUUAAUAUUAAAAUAUAAAAAUUGGGAAUGUGAAGGUCACGAUGCCCCUGACCUCUUAAUAGAUCCGCUCAUGAUUUUAAUUAUGUAACAAAUUAAUUAAUAUUUUCGAUCUAAAUUUGUAAAAUAUUUCAUUAAAUAAUAGCACUACUUAGGACUAAAUAUUUAUACUUAUAACUAAAUUGAUACUUAUUCAAGUGUAUGAACUAAAUACUAUUAAAUUUAUAAAAAGAUGAACUAAAUCGUUACAAACUAAUUUCCAAACACUAAAAUUAUUACUUAUGUAUAUAAAAAUUUAGGGACGAA
rnacentral:lncRNA from 1 species